AACAGUGGUUAACAGGGGUGGAGACCUGUGGAAAUGGUUGAAAUGUUGGUCAAAGGAUACGAAGUUGCAAUUCUGUAGGAUGAAUAAGUCUAGAGGCGUAAUGCAUAGCGUAACUAUAGUUAAUACUGCAUUGUGCAUUGGAAACUUGUGAAGAGUACAUUUCAUGUGCUCUCACCACUUACACAAAAUAGUAACUGUGAAGAUAUGUAUUAUGUUAAUUAGCUUGACUGUAGAAAUCAUUUCACCGUGUACAUGUAUCAAAACAUCAUGUUGUUCACCUUGAAGAUAGAGUUUUUAUUUUUAGAACACUGUUUGGGAUUAAAAGACCAGCUAAUUCUGCCUUAAUCUCUCAUUCUCAUCCACAACGUCCACCCAUAAGAAAGACGCCCGACACUCCGUGUAAACACACACUCCCCAUCUCCAAUACAUAUUUACCUUCUAGAGACAGCCCUUUUCCCCAUCCUCUCCCCUUAAAACACUCUGAAGCACAAGGUCUUUAGCCUAGUAAGACACUUUCUGAAAAAACUAGUUUAACCCAGCGUUGAGCCCCAGUACCAGGCCUGCUUCAGUUGCUUUAGCCUAGAGAGUUUCAACUCUCAGGUCCCAGGGAGGGAUGCUCCAAGGAAGAAAUAGAGGCCCAUUCCAGGGCUGUUUCUCGCUGACUAGCCGCAGAAAAUAAAGCCCAGCACCACUUCCUUUCAGUAGCAACCCGUUUCCAACACGUUUGCUAAGCGGGAACGGAAGCGAGCGGAAAAACGGCUUUGGUAAAUCCCACUUGAAGGAUUUCGUAAUCCUCCCAGGGAUUCCCACCACCCGCACUCCACGCGCAGACGGCGGGCCUUCCUCCGACGCUGGGAGAAGGACCCUGGGAGAGGCAAAGGGAAGGGCCCCGGAACCAGCGCAGUAGCGGGACGCUAGCCCGCCCACACGGCGGCCACUGAAGGUCCUCCAGGGAACGCCUGAGGCAAUGGGAGCGUCCGCCCUUUCCCAGGUUUCCUUGGAAAGAAGUAUUCGCUUUCGUUUCCGCAAACAAAGCAUGCUCUGCGCUUUCAGGAUCGGUGGCUCCCGUGGAGUCCGCAGCUGAACCCAGUCCGCCUUCGCACGCGUCUGAGGGAGAAGCGGCCCCGGGACUCAGGGCGCGCGGCCGAGGAACUUGUGCUGUGACGACCAGAGCAAACACGCCGGAUGUUCCUGUGUAGGCCGUGUAACCAGUGACCGGAAGUAGGGGCUGUGUGCUCCAGUGGCGCAAUCGGUUAGCGCGCGGUACUUAUAAGGCAGUAUGUGUGCGAGUGAUGCCGAGGUUGUGAGUUCGAGCCUCACCUGGAGCAUUGUUUUCCAACCCAAGAUAGCAUCACUUGAAGUGCCUUUCCCCCUGUAAUCCUACUCCACCGUCUUUAACGUGUUUGGAAUUGUGUACACAGUUUAUUGUUAUUGGUUUCCUUAGCCCUUUUAGAACGAAGCAAUGCCAAUUACCAAAAAAUCCGUUGCGGCGCAGUGAGUUAUCUACCUUCUGUCUCCACUUUGUCCUGCAUGUCGGUCUCAAGUAAAGAACAUCAUCUCUUUACAUCCUUCUUUCCACUUUGCUGUUAGGAUAAUCGAUCAUCGUUCCUCGGGAAGCCCCUGGCACAUACUUACUGCCCAGGCAUUAAGAAAACAUUUUUACCCUUAAGGAGAAGCCAGCUCCCAUGUAAGAAGUUCAAAUGCCUAGAGACUGUGAUGGUGUGCAGAGGCUCAAGCUAACCACAUGGAAAGACAUGGAGAGAUAUUCCUUGCCAACCCUCAACUAUUCCAACUAUUCUAAGACAUCAAACCUGUGAGUGAAAAAGCCAUCUCAUACCUUACAACUCUAGCAGACGCCACAUAGUGCAGAGAUAAGCUAUCUCUGUCAUUCUCUGUCAAAAUUGUAAAAUCAUAAGCAAAUAGAUAAUCAUGGUUGCUUCAAGUUACUACAUUUGAGUGUAGUGUUUUAAGCCACUGCAUUUGAGAUGGUUUGUUAUACAGCAAUAGAUAACUGAAAAACAAAGUCCCUUGACUUAGACUUGGCCACUCAACUUCCUUGGCCAAUGGAAUGGGGUAGAAGUGAUGGUGUGCUUAUUCCCAGCCUAGGCCUUAAAAGGCUUUGCCUAUUUCCACUUGCCUUCUUGUACCUCUGCUAUUGUCACAAGAAAAACAAACCCCAGAUCACACACUGGUCUGAAGAGGAGGAUGAGAGACAAAGAGAAAAAUUUUCUGGCUGCCUCUGCUGCCUACAGAUUGAAGAAGAUCCAUCCAGCUGAGCCCAGCCUAGACCAGCUGACUUCUCCAGUAAGCCUGUAUGAAAUAAAUGCUUAUUGUUAUGUGA